rnacentral:rRNA from 1 species
AGCGAACGCUGGCGGCAGGCCUAACACAUGCAAGUCGAACGGACCCUUCGGGGUUAGUGGCGGACGGGUGAGUAACACGUGGGAACGUGCCUUUAGGUUCGGAAUAGCUCCUGGAAACGGGUGGUAAUGCCGAAUGUGCCCUUCGGGGGAAAGAUUUAUCGCCUUUAGAGCGGCCCGCGUCUGAUUAGCUAGUUGGUGAGGUAACGGCUCACCAAGGCGACGAUCAGUAGCUGGUCUGAGAGGAUGACCAGCCACACUGGGACUGAGACACGGCCCAGACUCCUACGCGAGGCAGCAGUGGGGAAUCUUGCGCAAUGGGCGAAAGCCUGACGCAGCCAUGCCGCGUGAAUGAUGAAGGUCUUAGGAUUGUAAAAUUCUUUCACCGGGGACGAUAAUGACGGUACCCGGAGAAGAAGCCCCGGCUAACUUCGUG